rnacentral:sRNA from 1 species
UGUAUGUGGGGUAAUUUAAUAUUCAAACC